AAAGAUUGUUCUUUCAAAAAUCAAGUGCAUCCAUCCACCCCCACUCAAAACCAAAAUUUAUGACCCUCUCUCUACCAUCUCUCUAUUUGUGUUGUCUCUCUGUUCUCUCUCAAUUUGCUCAACCGCCAUCCACCAACUUGUGCUACCGUCGUGGAGAACCAACCAUCGCCUUCCCUCUCACAAUCGUUGGUGGAUCAACACUCAAUCAAAUUCCAAUUGCAGGGGGUGGAGAACCUAACUCAAGCCCCACACAAAAAACAAAUGAAUCUUGAAAUUGAACUUGCAUAGUGGCUGGUAAGGCUGCUACAGGAGUAGCGUUGCAGUGGCUAGCGGUAGAGAUGACACCAUAGGGACGAUGGAUGUAGACGAAAGAUGAGGUGAUUGGUGUGAUUUGGGUAGUAAUUUUGAAGUCUGAGGCUGAAGAAUUUAGCAUUUGUGAUUUGGUGGGACAUCAACAAAGCUAGGUAUUGGUGUGAGAUUGGCUACAAAUUUGGAGUUGGUAGUGGUCAACAUGAUGGUGAAGAUGUUGUUUGGAGUUGAUAUUUACC
rnacentral:lncRNA from 1 species